CGUGGGACAGGAGAUUUUUGCAGACGUCCGCGGGUCGCGUAUUUUUCGCGUAUUUUCGCAGAGCGCGUGUUUUUCGCUGAUUCUCGUGGGGCGCGAUUUUUCUCGCUGAUUUUCAUGGGACUCGAAUUUUUUGCGGUUUUUUCGCAGGUCACAUUUUUUUUUCACGGAUUGUUGUGGGGGCGUGUAUCUUUUCGCAAAUUUUUGCGUGGCGCGAAUUUUUCGCGGGAGUAGAAUUCUUUCGGGGAUUCCCGUUGAUUGCAUAUUUUUUCACUGGUUUUCUUUGGGGCACGUGUUUUCUCCCGUAUUUUCUUGGGGCGAGUAUUUUUCGUGGGCAAUGAAUAUCUUCGCGGAUUCUCACGAGUCGCUGACAGAGGCUCUAAACGAUGUAAAGUUGAAGCCUCUAUCUCUCAUAGUUUCCGAGAAAAGCGACUUUAAAGAUUUUCUGCUACUUUUCUGCAUUUCUCAUUUAAUUUUCCUUAUUAAUAACAAUGAUGAGUUACAUACUUAAACGAAAUUUGCAUUAUUUAUGUGUAAAUAUAUAAAAGGAGCAAAAAAGCUUAAUAGGAUUUCGAGAUAAUUCAGAAAAUAAACGUUCUUUCUUAGACAUUUUUCAAAAUAUCUGAAAUAUACACCUAAUUGUCGGAACCCAGGACGACAAACGCUGAGAGUUCUUGUAAAAAAAAAACCUCUAUCCUUUCGAAAAAUCUCUAUUUUGACAACGAAUUGUACAAGAACGGCUAAAGCGAUCUUAAUGAAAUUCGGUAUAGGGUCAGUGUAUAUCUUAAACUUUUUAUUUAUGCAUACCAUUCCUUCAUUCCACUUUCCGUUCUCGUAGCCCUCAUACAAAAUGAGAGUAUUUUGCCUUAUAACUCCUUUCUGAACGGAGGUAGAAAGCUGAAAUACGGCAUGGGAACAGACCUUAAAGAAGCCUUUUUAACCAUGUAUAUGGAGUCCUUCCUCCAUUAUCCUUUCAGGUAGACCCAAUAUAAAAUGAGAACAUUUUUCAACAAUCCUCACGGAGAUUUUUUCCAGCGAUUUCCGAUUUCCUCAAUUAUUUUUGAGGUUAUAGUUCAAACUUUCCUGGAGAAACGUUACUUGGAAGGUGGGAUAUGUUGCAAAUGGGGAUAAUUGAGAAUAAAAUCCACUCCUGAUGGUAUUCUGACCAGGAAUUUCUCAAAUAAAAGCAAGAAGGGAACAUUGAAUUGCAGGAUUCUAUAGAUUUUCCUCAAUUUUAUCAGGUUUCUGUCCGAAUUUCCCGGACAAACGUUACUGAAUGAAGAGUAGCUCUUGUAGACAGGGAUAGUUCAUACUGAUAUCCACUCCGGGUGGCGUUCUGACCAGGAAAUUGUCAUAAAACAAGAAGGAAACUUUACGUUGCCGAGAUUCCAGGAAUUUCCUCAAUUUUUUUUGAGAUUCCAGUCCAAAAUUCCCUGGAAAAACGUUACUGGAAGAGUAGAAUAUAUUGAAAACGGGAAAACAGUGGUUUUCUGGACAGGAAUUUGUCAAAUAAAAGCAAGAGGGAAACAUUGAAUUGCAGGAUUCUACAGAUUUCCUGCAAUUUUAUGAAGUUUCUGUCCGAAUUUCCCGGACAAACGUUACUGAAUGAAGAGUAGCUCUUGUAGACUGAGAUAGUUGGGAUUAAUGUCCACUCCGGAUGGCAUUCUGACCAGGAAUUUGUCAAAAAAUGCAAAAAAAGAAACUCUACGUUGCCGGGAUUCCAGGGAUUUCCUGCAAUUUUAUGAGGUUUCAGAUAAAUAAGAUCUGAGACCUAUUCUGUUGUUUAUCUUGGUCAGUAUUUUAGUAGUAAAAUGAAUCUUAGAUAAAAUCUUAAAUAAAAAUAUACUUACAUGACCUCUAUCUAAUGCCAAUAUUGUGAAGCAAUCAUGUGGUGUUGGUUAUCCUAACCUCUCUUAUCUAAAAAAAAAAAAAACAACAAAAACCUAACCUUCAAUU